ensembl:lncRNA
UAACUUUUGGAGUGCACGCACUCAGCUUUCAACUCCACAUAAUAUAAUUAGAAAUCCAAAAACCCCUUUAAAAAUGCCGGAUGAGCGCUGGGCACACACGAACGCUCUCUGGCAGUGCCGCUCUGGGUUAAGGAUGGCACUCGUGUCCCAGUGGCAGCGUCCCGCUGGAGUGCUGAUAGGCCCUCUCCCGGGGACACAAGGGCCCUGAGUGAGUGGGCUCUGAUACGCCAGCUCUCUAAUCACUGCCGUGUGUCCCCCAGUGCCCAGCUGAUGGACCACAUGGGUUGCUCACAGGAUGUCCCACCCAUAAAUCAGUGUAGAGGGGUGACAGUGCACAAAAUGGGUGAAUUGUCCUUGGGAUCCCAGCGGCUGUUGGCCAUCCUCGCGUCCCCCUGAAACUGAACACCCUCUUUUUUUUCAUUAUUUGGGGAAGAGUCAAACAAACGCCCCACCAACCUCCCCUUGCCUCCCAACACCCACCUCCCCAUUCCUCCUCCCCCCCAUCUGUCCCUUCUGGACUCCCCCCCCCCCCACAACAACCAAGCCCCAGCUAUGAACUGUUUCCAGAGUCAGUUACCAGUGUAAUUGAAAGUGCUUUGUCAUCGCUUUCAGGCCAACACUGAUGGAUGUGAAGUUGAAUGAGACUUGGGUUUUUAGUUAUAUGGGGGGUGGGUGGGGUGGGAGUCAGGAGGAGAUUUAUCACCAGUGGCUACGGGGGCCACCAGAGGCCAUUUUAAGCACAACCUCCCUCUACCUCACCGUGAUCUGUUAAUUAUUACUUAUUUAACCUGCGCAGCUGAAAUCAGUCGGCCCUGUCUUGACUGGAGGCCACGGAGCAGCGAGCCAGUACAUCUGAGACCCUUUACAAAGCAGGCAAUUAAAAAGAGAAAUGGGAGAUGUUUUUCUCUCUGCUGUGCAGUGCUCACCCGAUCGCGGGGAGAAAUAAGUAUGUGCCAUAAUUACAGGACAGUGGGAGAUGAGGAAGGAAAAUGGAGACGAGAGGUUGCUCUCAGGCAGCCAAGUGUUUACAUAGCAGAGCUUGAAAUAAAUAUCAGCUUGAGGUGGCAGAUUUCGCUCAUCCCUCACAAGCUUAUUGGCAUGGUAAGAAAUUGUGGCUUCGCCGAAACAUGCGACGAGAAAAAACACGGUUUAAGGAGACAGUAUUACUUAUUGAACCGACCAGAAUUGGUGAGCAUCCCCCCGGUUUGUUCACCUACGAGUGAGCUCGCAACAUUUGGCUCUUUGUCUGUGCAAACACAGCCUCUGGCAUCAACCACUGCCUCUGCUGCUCACAGAAACUCAAGAAGUAUCUAGAGAUAUCCUUGACAGCUGAGUGCACAGUAGCUAAGCCUAGUACCUCUAGCCAGGGCUCAACCAGCCUUAAGCUCUCAGGCCUGCCUUGGACAUUCUCAGAGAAGGAAAAUUGUGGGAGUUUGUUUAUUUUCAUUUAUUUAUUGACUGUCCUGGAUUCAUGAGGGCUGAGGUUUAAUUAAAGUUUAAAUAACACUGCUAUGAUGGCUGAGGUCCAGUUCUCUAGAAAUGGAUCAUGCCAUUCAUUAAACUGGAUGAAAAAUUCUUAGGUUAUUCAGCAAAAUACAACCUUGAGAGUAAACAUCACAGACGUAAUAGGCACUGAACCUUCCACUUCUGCACAGUGCGACACAUACUCAAACGCAUCCUAACACUCUAAACACUAAACUAACAUAUAAACAAAAAGAAGAAACACAAAGAAAAGAAAAACGUUUCCUGCAUCCCUGAAUGUCUCGCUCUCUCUCUUUAAGCCAAUGCUACUGUUACACAAAAAAAAAAAAAAACCUCGGUGGAAAACCCAGAAUGCAAAGCGCAGGUGGAAGUCAGCGAGUUCUCACUCUCCAGCUCUUCCUCCUUAUUAGUGCGCGCCCCCAGCUCGCUGGGCCUGGCGUGGGGCCAGCGCGGCUCAGAUCCUGGGCCUUCUUUUGUGGUGUGUGCCGGAGUAGAUGGAGCUUCUGCGUCGGGGUUGCUGUCCUAGAGCCAUGUUGGAAAAGACUGGAGCACUUCGGAAAGGGUUGGAGGCUGGUGCGCAGAGGAGGGGAGGGUGACCCUGGCGUGUGAUGUACGUGCAGAGGGGUCGCGGCGCGGGUGGACAGCACCAGACAAAGGAGUGCGACCCUGCCACAGGCACGGACACCUGGCCUGACAGAGCGGGAGAGGAUGGCACGGGCGCACACAAAAGGACCUCGGCCAGAAACAGGAAGGGCGGCUUCCAGGGUAAACAUGGCUCACCUGCUCCCACCAGGC